rnacentral:rRNA from 1 species
UUAUCUCUGUAGAGUCUGCAUAUCAAUAAGCGGAGGAAAAGAAACUAACUAGGAUUCCCUCAGUAACGGCGAGUGAAGCGGGAAGAGCUCAAAUUUGAAAUCUUCAAGGUUUUACCUUGACGAAUUGUAGUUUAAUAGAAGUGUUUUCUGUUGGAGUUUUGGUAAAAGUUCUUUGGAAUAGGACAUCAUAGAGGGUGAGAAUCCCGUAUUUGACCAUUACUUUCCAGCUGUGUGAUACACUUUCAAAGAGUCGGAUUGUUUGGGAAUGCAGUCCAAAAUGGGUGGUAAAUUUCAUCUAAAGCUAAAUAUUGGCGAGAGACCGAUAGCGAACAAGUACCGUGAGGGAAAGAUGAAAAGAACUUUGAAAAGAGAGUUAAACAGUACGUGAAAUUGUCAAAAGGGAAGCGUUUGACACCAGUGUUGUUUUCUCGAAAAUCAAUUAAAAAUGGCGGGAUUUUGUGUUGUAUUGACUUUAUCAGCUUUCUGCACUCUUUUCCUGUCUUUUUUAAUGCACUUUUCGUUUAACAAGUCAACAUCAGUUUCUUUUGUUGUAAAAGAGUCAUUGGAAGGUGGCUUUCUUUUCGGAGAAAGUGUUUAUAGCCUUUGACUUCUGCAAUCGGAGAGAUUGAGGUCUGCAGCGUAGAUCCUUCUGGAUUAGAUACAUUUGUGCUAAGUUAUAACCGUUUCAUAGACAACUUGUUGACUAUAUCGAUCAUGUAGCUUACUCGCUUAUGCUAAUUUUACCUACGCUUAGGAUGUUGAGUCAUCACACAUCUCU